rnacentral:rRNA from 1 species
UACGUAGGGGGCUAGCGUUGUCCGGAAUCAUUGGGCGUAAAGCGCGUGUAGGCGGCCCGGUAAGUCCGCUCUGAAAGUCGGGGGCUCAACCCUCGGAUGCGGGUGGAUACUGUCGGGCUUGAGUGCGGAAGAGGCGAGUGGAAUUCCCAGUGUAGCGGUGAAAUGCGUAGAUAUUGGGAGGAACACCAGUGGCGAAGGCGGCUCACUGGACCGGUACUGACGCUGAUGCGCGAAAGCGUGGGGAGCAAACGGG